GAUGAACGCUGGCGGCGUGCCUAAUACAUGCAAGUCGAGCGAACGGACGAGAAGCUUGCUUUUCUGAUGUUAGCGGCGGACGGGUGAGUAACACGUGGAUAACCUACCUAUAAGACUGGGAUAACUUCGGGAAACCGGAGCUAAUACCGGAUAAUAUUUUGAACCGCAUGGUUCAAAAGUGAAAGACGGUCUUGCUGUCACUUAUAGAUGGAUCCGCGCUGCAUUAGCUAGUUGGUAAGGUAACGGCUUACCAAGGCAACGAUGCGUAGCCGACCUGAGAGGGUGAUCGGCCACACUGGAACGGAGACACGGCCCAGACUCCUACGGGAGGCAGCAGUAGGGAAUCUUCCGCAAUGGGCGAAAGCCUGACGGAGCAACGCCGCGUGAGUGAUGAAGGUCUUCGGAUCGUAAAACUCUGUUAUUAGGGAAGAACAUAUGUGUAAGUAACUGUGCACAUCUUGACGGUACCUAAUCAGAAAGCCACGGCUAACUACGUG
rnacentral:rRNA from 1 species